GAGCAAUGAUUUCUAAACACAAAAAUUCAAAAAGUUAUACAAGGGACAAACAAAGAGAUCCACUUUCCUUGCAUCUGUGUUUAAAUAUGGAAGGGUUAAAUAUACUCAAAUAUAAUAACUUAUUCUUUACUUAUUCUGAUUUAAAGGCACCAUACAGAUUUUGGUCACAUUAUAUGUUGGAUGAUAGCCACUUCCAUAUAAAAGUUUCCAGGAAUCUCUAAGUUU